rnacentral:rRNA from 1 species
CUACGUAGGUGGCAAGCGUUGUCCGGAUUUAUUGGGCGUAAAGCGCGCGCAGGUGGUUCCUUAAGUCUGAUGUGAAAGCCCCCGGCUCAACCGGGGAGGGUCAUUGGAAACUGGGGAACUUGAGCGCAGAAGAGGAUAGUGGAAUUCCAAGUGUAGCGGUGAAAUGCGUAGAGAUUUGGAGGAACACCAGGGGCGAAGGUGACUGUCUGGUCUGUAACUAACACUGAGGCGCGAAAGCGUGGGGAGCAAACAGGAUUAGAUACCCUGGUAGUCCACGCCGUAAACGAUGAGUGCUAAGUGUUGGGGGGUUUCCGCCCCUCAGUGCUGCAGCUAACGCAUUAAGCACUCCGCCUGGGGAGUACGGUCGCAAGACUGAAACUCAAAUGAAUUGACGGGG